rnacentral:rRNA from 1 species
AGAGUUUGAUCCUGGCUCAGAACGAACGCUGGCGGCGUGGAUAAGACAUGCAAGUCGAACGGGAUAUUAUUUGUAGCAAUACAAAUGAUGUCCAGUGGCGUAAGGGUGCGUAACACGUGGGCAAUCUGCCGAAGAGUGGGGGAUAGCUCGCCGAAAGGGAAUUAAUACCGCAUGUGGCUUGUGAAGACAUCUUCACUGGGCCAAAGCCGGGGCAACCUGGCGCUCUUUGAUGAGCCCGCGGCCUAUCAGCUAGUUGGCGGGGUAACGGCCCACCAAGGCUAUGACGGGUAGCUGGUCUGAGAGGACGACCAGCCACACUGGAACUGAGACACGGUCCAGACACCUACGGGUGGCAGCAGUCGAGAAUUUUUCUCAAUGGGGGAAACCCUGAAGGAGCGACGCCGCGUGGAGGAUGAAGGUCUUCGGAUUGUAAACUCCUGUCAUUAGGGAACAAUUGUCAGCGAUUAACUGUCGCGGGCUUGAUAGUACCUGAAGAGGAAGAGACGGCUAACUCUGUGCCAGCAGCCGCGGUAAUACAGAGGUCUCAAGCGUUGUUCGGAUUCAUUGGGCGUAAAGGGUGCGUAGGCGGCGGGGCAAGUCAGGUGUGAAAUCUCGGGGCUCAACUCCGAAACUGCACUUGAUACUGCCUUGCUAGAGUAUUGGAGAGGAGAUUGGAAUUUACGGUGUAGCAGUGAAAUGCGUAGAUAUCGUAAGGAAGACCAGUGGCGAAGGCGAAUCUCUGGACAAUUACUGACGCUGAGGCACGAAGGCCAGGGGAGCAAACGGGAUUAGAUACCCCAGUAGUCC